AUUGAACGCUGGCGGCAGGCCUAACACAUGCAAGUCGAGCGGAGCGGCGGACGGGGAAGGAAUGCCUAGGAAUCUGCCUGGUAGUGGGGGAGAAAGUCAGGAAACGGGCGCUAAUCCCGCAUACUAUCAGAUGAGCCUAGGUCGGAUGAGCUAGUUGGUGGGGUAAAGGCAGAACAAGGCGACGAUCCGUAACUGGUCUGAGAGGAUGAGCAGUCACACGGGAACUGAGACACGGUCCAGACUCCUACGGGAGGCAGCAGUGGGGAAUAUUGGACAAUGGGCGAAAGCCUGAUCAAGCCAUGCCGCGUGUGUGAAGAAGGUCUUCGGAUUGUAAAGCACUUUAAGUUGGGAGGCGUUACCAACAGAAUAAGCACCGGCUAACUUCGUGCCAGCCGCCGCGGUAAUAC
rnacentral:rRNA from 1 species